rnacentral:rRNA from 1 species
AGUGAACGCUGGCGGUAGGCCUAACACAUGCAAGUCGAACGGCAGCACAGGAGAGCUUGCUCUCUGGGUGGCGAGUGGCGGACGGGUGAGGAAUACAUCGGAAUCUACUCUGUCGGGGGGGAUAACGUAGGGAAACUUACGCUAAUACCGCAUAAGACCUACGGGUGAAAGCAGGGGACCUUCGGGCCUUGCGCGAUUGAAUGAGCCGAUGUCGGAUUAGCUAGUUGGCGGGGUAAAGGCCCACCAAGGCGACGAUCCGUAGCUGGUCUGAGAGGAUGAGCAGCCACACUGGAACUGAGACACGGUCCAGACUCCUACGGGAGGCAGCAGUGGGGAAUAUUGGACAAUGGGCGCAAGCCUGAUCCAGCCAUACCGCGUGGGUGAAGAAGGCCUUCGGGUUGUAAAGCCCUUUUGUUGGGAAAGAAAUCCAGCUGGCUAAUACCCGGUUGGGAUGACGGUAUCCAAAGAAUAAGCACCGGCUAACUUCGUGCCAGCCGCCGCCGUAA